GCUGGUGUCAUCACUCAGCAGGGACCUCGUCUCUUGUCCCUGGGCUCUCUUACAUGGCUCGUAGUUACAGAUGUGGACCUGCCAUCCGUGGCUUUGGCCUCAGAGAUGUUGUGCUAUCUGAUCCAUACCUGGUUGUUGCAAUAACUUAAGUAUUUGAAGUGCAAAAGAUAUUCCUUCUACAACAGGAAUGUGAUAAUCACUGUGGAAACUGUACAGGUGAGUAGGGAUAGGUAUAUUGAAAGUAAGUAAAACAGUCCAAGUUUGUCAAACCUUGAAAGAAUUCUUAUUGAUCUUUCUUGGCCUGGUAUUGGUGGCA
rnacentral:lncRNA from 1 species